AUGAACGCUGGCGGCGUGCCUAAUCCAUGCAAGUCGAACGCUGGAGAUCUAGCUUGCUAGAUCGAAGGAGUGGCGAACGGGUGAGUAAUACAUAAGCAACCUACCCACGAAGACUGGGAUAAUCUCUGGAAACGGGGACUAAUACCGGAUAGGUAAUCGGAAGGCAUCUUCUGGUUAUUAAAGGUUAAAAACACUGGUGGAUGGGCUUAUGGCGCAUUAGUUAGUUGGUGAGGUAACGGCCCACCAAGACGAUGAUGCGUAGCCGGCCUGAGAGGGUGAACGGCCACAUUGGGACUGAGACACGGCCCAGACUCCUACGGGAGGCAGCAGUAGGGAAUUUUCGGCAAUGGGGGCAACCCUGACCGAGCAACGCCGCGUGAGUGAAGACGGCCUUCGGGUUGUAAAGCUCUGUUGUAAGGGAAGAACGGUAGAUAGAGAAUAUCUAAGUGACGGUACCUUACCAGAAAGCCACGGCUAACUACGUG
rnacentral:rRNA from 1 species